GUGUUAGCGGCGGACGGGUGAGUAACACGUGGGUAACCUGCCUGUAAGACUGGGAUAACUCCGGGAAACCGGAGCUAAUACCGGAUAGUUCCUUGAACCGCAUGGUUCAAGGAUGAAAGACGGUUUCGGCUGUCACUUACAGAUGGACCCGCGGCGCAUUAGCUAGUUGGUGAGGUAACGGCUCACCAAGGCGACGAUGCGUAGCCGACCUGAGAGGGUGAUCGGCCACACUGGGACUGAGACACGGCCCAGACUCCUACGGGAGGCAGCAGUAGGGAAUCUUCCGCAAUGGACGAAAGUCUGACGGAGCAACGCCGCGUGAGUGAUGAAGGUUUUCGGAUCGUAAAGCUCUGUUGUUAGGGAAGAACAAGUGCAAGAGUAACUGCUUGCACCUUGACGGUACCUAACCAGAAAGCCACGGCUAACUACGUGCCAGCAGCCGCGGUAAUACGUAGGUGGCAAGCGUUGUCCGGAAUUAUUGGGCGUAAAGGGCUCGCAGGCGGUUUCUUAAGUCUGAUGUGAAAGCCCCCGGCUCAACCGGGGAGGGUCAUUGGAAACUGGGAAACUUGAGUGCAGAAGAGGAGAGUGGAAUUCCACGUGUAGCGGUGAAAUGCGUAGAGAUGUGGAGGAACACCAGUGGCGAAGGCGACUCUCUGGUCUGUAACUGACGCUGAGGAGCGAAAGCGUGGGGAGCGAACAGGAUUAGAUACCCUGGUAGUCCACGCCGUAAACGAUGAGUGCUAAGUGUUAGGGGGUUUCCGCCCCUUAGUGCUGCAGCUAACGCAUUAAGCACUCCGCCUGGGGAGUACGGUCGCAAGACUGAAACUCAAAGGAAUUGACGGGGGCCCGCACAAGCGGUGGAGCAUGUGGUUUAAUUCGAAGCAACGCGAAGAACCUUACCAGGUCUUGACAUCCUCUGACAACCCUAGAGAUAGGGCUUUCCCUUCGGGGACAGAGUGACAGGUGGUGCAUGGUUGUCGUCAGCUCGUGUCGUGAGAUGUUGGGUUAAGUCCCGCAACGAGCGCAACCCUUGAUCUUAGUUGCCAGCAUUCAGUUGGGCACUCUAAGGUGACUGCCGGUGACAA
rnacentral:rRNA from 1 species